GUGAGGGGGUGACUAGUGACAGAGUGAGGGAAGGGGUGACUAGUGGCAGAGUGAGGGAAGGGGUGACUAGUGGCACAGUGAGGGAAGGAAGGGGUGACUAGUGACAGAGUGAGGGAGGUGGUGACUGUCACUAGUCACCACCUCCCUCACUGUCACUACUCCCUCCCUCCUUCUGUCACUAGUCACGCCCUCCCUCACUCUGUCAAAUGUCAUCCCCUCCCUCACUCUGUCACCAGUCAUCCCCUUCCCUCACUCUGUCACCAGUCAUCCCCUUCCCUCAC